AAUAUACUCCCUCCGUCUGGAAAUACUUGUCUUAAAAAUGGAUGUAUGUAGAUUUAUUCUAGUUAUAGAUAUAUUUUAUUUAAUUAUUUUUAGGACAAGUAUUUUCGGAGAGAGGGAGUAGAUG
rnacentral:pre_miRNA from 1 species